AUGAGACACUCAGAAGAUGGGAAAACACUGAAAAUGGUCCAGCAGAAGGUGAUUACACCAAUGUCACAUCUGUGAUUCAGCUCAAAGUCAUUAACAAGACAAGGCAACGUGGUGACCCAGAGGAGAGCUCUGACUACAAUGAUGUCAAUCCAAAUUCAGCAUCAGCUUUAACAUGAAGCUAAAAAGAAGCUUGUAAGUUCAAACAGGAAGAUCUGUAA